GAGGAAUAUUGGGCAAUGCCCGCAAGGGUGACCCAGCAACGCCGCGUGGAGGAUGAAUGUCGUAAGAUUGUAAACUCCUGUUAGAGGGGAAGAAUAGUACCGGUUGGACCGGUAUAUGACUGUACCCUCAGAGAAAGCCCCGGCUAACUACGUGCCAGCAGCCGCGGUAAUACGUAGGGGGCAAGCGUUGUCCGGACUUACUGGGUGUAAAGGGCGCGCAGGCGGGAUAAAAAGUCAGUGGUGAAAUCCUACAGCUUAACUGUAGAACUGCCUUUGAUACUUUUAUUCUUGAGUUCGGGAGGGGGGGACGGAAUUCCAGGUGUAGUGGUUAAAUACGUAGAUAUCUGGAAGAACACCAGUUGCGAAGGCGGUCUCUUGGUCCGACACUGACGCUGAGGCGCGAAAGCGUGGGGAGCAAACA
rnacentral:rRNA from 1 species